GUUGGCAGCGGCUCGGCGCGCACCCAACGGCCCACCGCGGGUUUCCGGGACGGCUAGCAGCGCGGUUCCCGGUCCCGCCCCGAACCCCCUUACCUGGCGCAGAGGCCGCUCAGUGCGGUGCGGUCAGGCCUCGUGGGCUGGGACCUAAGCCGUUGACCCUAAGGCGAUCGGGGCUCCCCGCGCGGCCCCCCCGGGGGACGGGAUUAACGCCUAAGCCCCAAGCCGGGUCGGCGGGAGGAGGGCGGCCCUCUGGGCGAGCGCGGGGCCGGGGCUGGCGGUGCGGAGCGCACGGGACUCGCCCGCUUCUCAGGGUCUGAAGGAAAUGUGCACUUUUAAUGUGUUAUUUCCUAACACAAAUGUUUGAGCAGACCAAAUAAACUCUGCAUGCUGAAUGUGGCCCCGAGGUCCCCCGUUGGUGACACGGCUUUCGGCAUUUUCUCGGCCUGAGUGUGAGAGUGAGAGGAGCCCGCGUGGCGGUCACCGGCUGGAGCGGGAGCGUGGAGUUAUCACGGCCGCCUCUGCCCGGAGCCCGCCCCUGCCCCGCGGCUGUGCCCCUUCACCCGCACGCCGACUGUUCCAAAGUCCACGUCCAGCCUGCAGCCGGGUUUUCUAUGGUGCCUGAGCUAAGAAUGCUUUUCUCGUUUUUAAGAGGUUGGGGGAGAAUUAAAACAGUAUUUUAGCAUAUAUGAAAAGUAUAUGACAUUCAAAUAUCGGCCGGGCACGGUGGCUCACGCCUGUAAUCCCUGCACUUUGGGAGGCCGAGGCGGGUGGAUCACCUGAGAUCAGGAGUUCGAGACCAGCCUGGCCAACAUGGAGAAACCCCGUCUCUACUGAAAAAAAAUAAAAAAUUAGCCAGACGUGGUGGUGGGCUCCUGUAAUCCCAGAUACUCGGGAGACUGAGGCAGAAGAAUCGCUUGAACCCGGGAGGCAGAGGUUGCAGUGAGCCGAGAUCGCGCCACUGCACUCCAGUCUGGGUGACAGAGCAAGACUCCGUCUCCAAAAAAAAAUUAAAUUAAAAUGUCGGUUUCCUAAGGAGUUCAACUGGAACACCACCAUGCUUGUUCAUGUAGUUAAAAGUCUGCAAGUGCUUGGUACAUACACAGAUGGUAUUUAUUUGCUGUUUGUCUUAAAUUGCAUUCUUAUGCAUCAUAGAGACUGCGAUAAGGAGAAGAAAAAAUAUUUUCUACAGGACCAUCCAAACAUCUAUUAUGAGAAAUACCACUGCGAUGAGUCUUCACAUACAAGUGUCAGGUGCACCAUUUGACGGUCCCACCAGCAGCAUGAGAGAGUUCCAGUGUCUCCACAUCCUCGUCAACACUCACUACCUGACUUUUUGGGUCUAGCUCUCCAGGCCAGGAAGCCGAACCAAAUCCACCUCCCUCAGGUGUGCCCGCGGGACCUGUGUGUGUGCAAGUUUCUAUCUUCCAGAAGGUUCCAGUGUCUGCCAUGGCUCUUGGCCUGCCAGGAAGUAUCCUUCUUACUACUUGUGAGGCUGAGGCUUUGUGUGCCAGAGUACAGGUGCCCGGCCAGUAUGGGUCUGAGGGUUGUGUGGGCAUUGGUUCAGCACACAAGCCACAACCCUUGUUCCUUAAAGGUGGGCGUGUUGUGGAAGCACAGGAAAGUUAUUCUCAAAUAUGACACCCAUGUAAGGCCUGGGCUCCACUAUUAAUUUGUCUGAUUAUAUCCUGGUGACAAGGAGGACAAAUUUCUACUGCAACAAUGCAAAUUACUACGUUUUUAUUAAAAGUAAAUGUCAGUAAAACUAUUUUUCCUGAAUUCUGAAGUGAGAAAAACACCAUUUAAAGAACGUUUUAAUGUUUGUGAAAGGAUAGUCUCCUAAAGUAGAUUGUUGCAGAUACCGGGUAAAAAUAAAAAUUAAAUAAAUUAAAGGUGAGAUAGAUCAAAGAAGAAGGGUUUUGUCUUAUUCCUGCCAGAAACAGAAUAUCAGAAACAACAUGAGCAUCCUCCUCCUUGCCUUUUCUUGGGCUGUGCUUUCAGCCUGCAGAUAUAACCAUUCUGGAGAGCAGUGAUGCCCCCAGAACCGCAUUUUUGGCUGGUGCAAAAUGGGGGGCAGUGGUUGUGUCUGGGGCCAAGUUUCUGUCCUGUAUAGCCUAGAGAUGGUUAUGUAGCGGGGGACUGAGCUACUAAGUGAAGGCAUAGAUAGUUAUGUAGAAACAGAGGAGGGUAGAAUCAACUCCAUGCUAGAUUGUAACUGGAGGUACAGGUAUCAGUAUGAACUCAAGGUUUGCUAAGAGGUAUCAGAAAAGAUAUGGGUGUGUGUGUGUGUGUGUGUGUGUGUGUGUGUGUGUGUGUGUGUGUGUUUGUACAUACUUAUUUCCUAGCUCUGUCUGCUGAGUGUAAAUGGAAUCAUAUUCUGUAAUCUUUUGAGAUUUCUUUCUUCCAUUUAAAAUUAUGUGUUUGAGAUUUGGCCGUGUUGGUGGUGGAAUUCAUUCAUUUCUGUUGCUGUGUGCUAUUCCAUUGCGUGGAUACACCUCACUUUGUCCAUUUUACCGUCCUUUGAUAUUUAAGAUUUCUCCCAGUAUUUGCUAUUAAAAACAGCGUUAAAAUAAAAAAAAAAAAACACCAAAAA